UACGUAGGGUGCGAGCGUUAAUCGGAAUUACUGGGCGUAAAGCGUGCGCAGGCGGUUUUGUAAGCCAGAUGUGAAAUCCCCGGGCUUAACCUGGGAAUGGCAUUUGGGACUGCAAGGCUUGAGUGUGGCAGAGGAGACUGGAAUUCCUGGUGUAGCAGUGAAAUGCGUAGAUAUCAGGAGGAACACCGAUGGCGAAGGCAGGUCUCUGGGCUAACACUGACGCUCAUGCACGAAAGCCAGGGGAGCGAACGGG
rnacentral:rRNA from 1 species